UACGUAGGUGGCAAGCGUUGUCCGGAUUUACUGGGUGUAAAGGGCGGGUAGCCGGGCUGACAAGUCAGAUGUGAAAUCCGGGGGCUCAACCCCCGAACUGCAUUUGAAACUGUUGGUCUUGAGUAUCGGAGAGGCAGGCGGAAUUCCUAGUGUAGCGGUGAAAUGCGUAGAUAUUAGGAGGAACACCAGUGGCGAAGGCGGCCUGCUGGACGACAACUGACGGUGAGGCGCGAAAGCGUGGGGAGCAAACAGG
rnacentral:rRNA from 1 species